rnacentral:rRNA from 1 species
AUUGAACGCUGGCGGCAGGCUUAACACAUGCAAGUCGAGCGGGGGAAGGUAGCUUGCUACCGGACCUAGCGGCGGACGGGUGAGUAAUGCUUAGGAAUCUGCCUAUUAGUGGGGGACAACAUCUCGAAAGGGAUGCUAAUACCGCAUACGUCCUACGGGAGAAAGCAGGUGAUCUUCGGACCUUGCGCUAAUAGAUGAGCCUAAGUCGGAUUAGCUAGUUGGUGGGGUAAAGGCCUACCAAGGCGACGACCUGUAGCGGGUCUGAGAGGAUGAUCCGCCACACUGGGACUGAGACACGGCCCAGACUCCUACGGGAGGCAGCAGUGGGGAAUAUUGGACAAUGGGGGGAACCCUGAUCCAGCCAUGCCGCGUGUGUGAAGAAGGCCUUAUGGUUGUAAAGCACUUUAAGCGAGGAGGAGGCUACUCUAGUUAAUACCUAGGGAUAGUGGACGUUACUCGCAGAAUAAGCACCGGCUAACUCUGUGCCAGCAGCCGCCGUAA